UAGUCCCGACCGUAAACGGUGUGCACUUGGUGUUGGAGGUAUUGACCCCUUCAGUGCCGGAGCUAACGCGUUAAGUGCACCGCCUGGGGAGUACGGCCGCAAGGCUAAAACUCAAAGAAAUUGACGGGGCCCGCACAAGCGGAGGAGCAUGUGGCUUAAUUCGAUGCAACGCGAAGAACCUUACCUGGGCUUGACAUGGUACUGCAAGCCCCCUGAAAGGGGGGCCGCCUUCGAGGGUGUAUCACAGGUGCUGCAUGGCUGUCGUCAGUUCGUGCCGUGAGGUGUUGGGUUAAGUCCCGCAACGAACGCAACCCUUGUGGUUAGUUGCCACCGCAGGUGAUGAGCCUGCGAGCACUCUAGCCAGACUGCCCGUANAAGCGGGAGGAAGGUGGGGAUGGACGUCAAGUCAGUAUGGGCCCUUACGCCCAGGGGCUGGCACACGUGCUACAAUGGGCCGGUACAGUGGGGAGGCAAUACCGCGAGGGUGGGAGCAAAUCCCC
rnacentral:rRNA from 1 species